UACGAAGGGGGCUAGCGUUGCUCGGAAUCACUGGGCGUAAAGGGUGCGUAGGCGGGUCUUUAAGUCAGGGGUGAAAUCCUGGAGCUCAACUCCAGAACUGCCUUUGAUACUGAGGAUCUUGAGUACGGGAGAGGUGAGUGGAACUGCGAGUGUAGAGGUGAAAUUCGUAGAUAUUCGCAAGAACACCAGUGGCGAAGGCGGCUCACUGGCCCGUAACUAACGCUGAGGCACGAAAGCGUGGGGAGCAAACAGG
rnacentral:rRNA from 1 species